rnacentral:lncRNA from 1 species
AGGCUUUUCAGUGGUACAAUCCUAAAGAAACCUUAUUUGGUGCCUGUAAGACAGAUGCCUCUCAAAACUCUUAAUUUCAUCUGAAAGAAGGGCAAGCCACAGCCCCCCUGUUUUGUUCAUGAACGGUGGAAUCCUUUGCAUCUAUAAUGCAUUUUCCUAUUGGAAUCGAAGGCUGGAUCAUCUAUCCCAGGGUCUGGAGUCUGGCGCGGAGCCAGGCAAAUUGCAAGUUCCUGCAUCCAUUACAAUUUCACAUGACAGUUACUUGAAGCCGAUCAAGAAAAUCUGGAAAGCUCGAAAGACAACACCCAUUGGGCAAGACAUAUGACUCCAAGCAUCCUCUGCUUACGAAAUGAAAUGAAAUAGCCUAAUAUGAUUCAUCAUUGCAUUUUCUCUCCCAGAAACAUCCGAUUCCCUGUCAUCUUCCAUCAGGGGCUGAAGCUGAGCGGCGCAAUGACAACUAAUGCAUGGGUUUUCCUUCCCUGAAGAGCAAUUGAAGUUGAUUCCUGGGGUACUUAAAGGACUUGGGGACACAGGCCCAUGAUGCAAAUUUGCCUUUGGACAAAUUAAGAUGAUGGGGGCUGGGUCUUAGGAUAUGUAUGUG